rnacentral:rRNA from 1 species
AAUCUGGGGUCGACGACCCCCGAGUUGUAAUUUGGAGAGGCAUCCUCCGGGAGGAGCGCUGGCCCAGGUUCCUUGGAACAGGACGUCACAGAGGGUGAGAAUCCCGUGCCAGGCUGGCUGCCUCCUCCGCCGUGGAGGGCCUUCGACGAGUCGAGUUGUUUGGGAAUGCAGCUCCAAGUGGGUGGUAGAUUUCAUCUAAAGCUAAAUACCGGCGGGAGACCGAUAGCGCACAAGUAGAGUGAUCGAAAGAUGAAAAGCACUUUGAAAAUAGAGUCAAAAAGUACGUGAAAUUGUUGGAAGGGAAGCGCUUGAGGCCAGACUCGGACCCGAGCAAACAUCGAGCCCCUCGGGGCCGUGCAAUUGCUCGGUGCCGGGCCAGCAUCGGUUGGCGUGGCGGGACAAAGGUGCGGGGAAUGUGGCUCCCCUCGGGGUGUGUUAUCAGGCCCGCGCCCCAUGCCGUCGACGCCGACCGUGGACCGCGCCCUACGGGCUAGGAUGCUGGCUUAAUGGCCUUCAGCGACCCGUCUUGAAACACGGA